rnacentral:rRNA from 1 species
GACGUAGGGCGCGAGCGUUGUCCGGAAUUAUUGGGCGUAAAGAGCUCGUAGGCGGUUUGUCGCGUCUGCCGUGAAAGUCCGGGGCUCAACUCCGGAUCUGCGGUGGGUACGGGGCAGACUAGAGUGAUGUAGGGGAGACUGGAAUUCCUGGUGUAGCGGUGAAAUGCGCAGAUAUCAGGAGGAACACCGAUGGCGAAGGCAGGUCUCUGGGCAUUAACUGACGCUGAGGAGCGAAAGCAUGGGGAGCGAACAGG